UGAGUUCAUUCCCUCUAUUUGGCAGGAGGGGAGAAUGCAAUAUGAGUACCUAUUAAUUUAAAUAAAGCAGGCAUUUUAAAAUUCUACAGGACAGGGAAGGCAUAAGCCCAUGUUGCUAAUCGUUAGAAUAACUUUGUUGUCUGAAAAUUAGUACAUAAAUCCUCUUCGCAGCCACAGACUUAAUUAAUUAAUGGUGCUCACGUCUCUCCUCUUGCCCUUGCCAGAGGUGACCUGGAGUGAGACAGCUCUGGAGCGCCAGGUUCACUGGGCCUCGUGCUAGGGGCCGAGCUCUCGCAGGAGGGGCUCCAAGCACCCCCCGACGGCCGUGCCCCGGCCCUGCUCGCCACGGGGUUUCUGCCUGUGCAGCCCUCUUCCCCUUCCUGCUCCCGGAGGGGCUGAACGCGACGGCUGCUGCGCCAGGGACGCUGCUGCUUAAGCUACUGGCUUUGAGCUGUUUGGCUCUCUGCGUUCUGCGCUCCUUCCUGACACACGCGCGUCUUUGAGCGCCAUUAAAAGUCUAACGAGCGAUUCAUUAAACACUGCCCUCUCAGCUGCCGAGCGCCUGUGGCAGUAACUCCUGACGCUUCCAACAGGAAUAAGUAAUCCCUGCCUAAAUGCAGGGGAACGCGCUUUCUGGCACUGCGUGCACCACAAGCCCAGCGCUGUGGUCAAAGUGGAGGCCUCUUCCUCUCCGCCCGCCAGCGUGUGCGUCUCUGUUACCUGAAAAUGCUUAUGUUGCCUUUCAUUCCUGCUGGGAAAGAGCGAGGAGGCGGAGUGCUCCACAGAGCUGAGGCUCGCAAUGGGCCAACAAGCUACCCAAGGAUCCGUUUUGGUCUACAGCCUACCCACUGUGGCCGCUAUCUGUGCUCAAAUUCAGCAGUCGUUACUCUGGAAAUUAACCCAUGCAUUUCAAACCAAAAUCUGUUAAUCAUUUCCAGUGCAUUUGAGCAUGUGCUUAAAGAGCAGAGAUUCUGAUUAAUAGUUGGUGAAUUUGAUUCACAGCAUAAAGUUAAUCUGAAGGUGUUAAAUCACGCAUAGGUAUGCCCAAUAAAUAACCAACUGAAUUCAGUGGCAUUAUUUCCAGCAAUCUGAGGUUUCAGCUGGAACAGAAAUAGGUUAGGAAUUUAACUCAAAUAAAGCAAGGAUGGAAAGAUGAAGAGAACUUAGUAGGCUUUUGGCAGUUUCAGUAGUUCGUUAGCAAUCAGCAUGUGGAGUGCAAUACAGAGCAUUUGUAUUUUCACAGCUCUUCAACAGCAUGGAAGAUGCCUCUGUCUCAGCUCUGGGGGACGAAGCUCCCUCCACCUCGCAUGCCUGCAUGGCAAGCUGCAAAGCAGGUGUCCUACGCUGCUGUUAAGUCCUUCGUGCAGGAGAGGGCAUUAAGCCUCAGCCGUACCGUCAGGCUUGCCGCCUCCAGCAGCGCUCUGCAUUGCAGGUGCAGCUGUGGUAGCUAUGGUGCACGGGGGGCCACCGUCCUCUUCCAUGUGUGAGAGGAACACAGGACACAAUCUGACUGCACUUCCUUCAGGGACUUUAACAAAAUGGGCUUUAUGUAGCCAGCAUCUGGGCCAGCAAAAAUAUUUCUAAUGUUUCUUUAGUUUUAGAAUGAAGCUAAUGGCCUUUGCUCUGUUGAGAAGAAUCAGUCAUCUCCAUAGAAAUAGCUCUUUUUAAAAUUACGUUUCUGAAGAAAACCAUUUUUGCUCCAUAAUGCCUGUAUUGUUUAUCAGUUCAGCUGGUGGUUUAGAGGGCUUUCUCCACUAACACAGAUUAGAAAAGUUGAAGGACUAUGACGGGUAAUACACAUUAAAGAUUAAAAAUGGUGCCACAGCCAAGAGGCCUAGGCUUCACCAGAUUACUAUCUCUCCUCCAUUUCUUUACUUGCCCGUGCAAAGUCAAAGUGGGGUUCAUACUGUCCUCCCACUCCAUAAUUUGCCACCUGAAAAAGAGAAACACAUUGCUUGUGAAGAAGAAAGAGAUCGAGACAGAAAACAGGACUUACCCUUCCAAAAUCAAAAUGAGGCUCAUACUGGCCUCCUACGCCGUAGUUGGCUACCUACAGUGAAAGGAGAAGCACAAACAUCUAGUCAAGCAGUAUUUGUCUAGACAAGAAGGGGUGUGAAUUUUACACACACAAUCUCUAAUUUUUGGAUAGCUGAAGUUUGUAGGAAAUUACAAGUCCCUGUCAACUACCCUGUACUGUACGCAGCAGCGUCCUGCUGGGUUUAUUCACAAAUAGCUCUUUAUUCAUUGAGAUUCCUCAUCCAUUCAGAGCCAGAACGUGACUCUGAGCUUUGGGGACUCGGUCCCUCUCCAGUUCUCUCCGCCACGAUCCAUCUCCCAGCCAAGCCGCAGCUUAAACUUCCCCUCCGGCAGGUCAGCUUUCCUGGGAGCUCCCCCGCCCCUCGGGGUCCCUCCCCCUGCUGAAUGCGAACGCUCCGCUCCGGUUCUCGAGCACCUGCUGAAAACGCUACUUGUCCUCCUAAUGGCUUCCAGCUCUUAGAAGCCGACUGGCACCUUUCAGGACUCCUGAAAACCUGGACAGCCACAGGCUCCAAGGAGACCCAAGCUCCUUGGCUACCGGAGCAGCGGCACAUCCAAGCGCAGUCCUGCCAGCUGUAGCUUCCCCUGGUAAGGUACUCCAGCGCGCGGAGCAGCCACCGCUGUUACUGUGACCUGCUCUGUCCUACAGCUGCCACAACGGACACAGAGCGCUCACGGAUGCCACCGGUUGUCUUCUCAGGAGGGCGUGCGCCCCUCUCUGCACCAGCCUGCCUCUAACACGGGAACCUUUUGAGCACUCCUGCUUGCAGAGAAGUUCACUUGGUUUUAUACCAGCACGGUCCCACCUCCCUUCCCCCAGGGUCCCAGAGUUUUUCUAUAAAAACUUUAAAGACUAUUUCUCUUCAGAA